AUAAGACUGUACCACAGAAUAAAUAAUAGUACUACCGUACAGAAGGGACACUUCCUACAAAACCGAAGUUUGACAGCGAUUCAGGGACGACUCAUGCUGUCCCUUUCUAAUGUAUGGCACUAUCCCUUUCAGCUAUUUAGGGUUGUCAAAAUUCAAGGACGUCAAGUGGUGCCAACCCUAAUAAUUAUUCAAUUGCUCGGAGCAAUGCUGAGCCGAACGGAGCCGAGUUUGCCCGAAGUCAAGAGUGUCUCCCCACUGGCUAUAGUUCUUAUUGACCGCUACGUAACAAUAAGACUUCUAUUGGCUUGUUUCUUUCUGAUUUGUUAGGAGUGGCCAAUUAAUAUGUAGUGGCCAAUAACUGAGCAAUCACCCUACUAGGUCGAUAGAUACCAACAUGUCUUUGAUUUUGCUAGAUUUCAAUUCUGAGGGUAUUCCAUCUCAAUGUCAUUGCGUCUCACUCUCUCAGUAAGCAAAAUGUGAGACAAAAUUCACAUUGGACAAUGAAAUUGGACAGAUGGAAUACUACCCUAGGCGCCACAUUUGCACCAUUCCACUAUCUCGGGGUUAACCGGUUAAACCUGGAGUUACCAGUACAAUUUGACACUGGAUUAACGGUUUAACUGGUUAACCCCAGUUAGUGGGAUGGCGCAAGUGGGUCUCAGGGCCACUUGCACCAUCCCGCUAACCUGGGGUUAAAUGGUUAAACCGUUAACCCUGUGUCUAAUCGUACUGGUAACCAUGGUAACUCCAGGUGUAACUGGUUAACCCCAGUUAGCGGGAUGGCGCAAGUGGCCCUGAGACCCACUUGCACCAUCCCGCUAACCUGGGGUUAAAUGGUUAAACCGUUAAACCUAAUCGCACUGGUAACCAUGGUAACUCCAGGUUUAACUGGUUAACCCCGAGAUAGUGAAAUGGUGCAAAAGUAACUAACUGGGGAGUUAGUGGGAUGGCGCAAGUGGCCCUGAGACGCGUAGUAUCAAAAUUUUUGCCACAACUUUUACAGCUAAAGUAGAUUGCGCUAUUCUGGCAAUAUUCUGUAAUGCUAUGCUACUUUAUGUUUCUUAGUUCUAGUCUGGUACAGCGCUAAACCUGUCUCUGAGAUCAACGCAGCAAAAUGAGUUGUCGUUAGCCAUCUUGUUAGUCGUCUUGGUAGUUUGCCAUUACAUUUAAUGUAAAAAAUGAAAGUCAAUUAAAAUCUGGCAGAAGGUCAUCAUGGUCUUGACCAGGGGUUUUCAAACCCCGGCCCGCGACGCGUUUCAAUCCGGCCCGCCGACACCCAACGUCCGGCCCGCGGGAGCCAGGCUCCAGUUUAGAGACCCCUGGUCUUGACCAAACUGUGGAAUGUACUGUCGCCCUUGCGUUGGUAGCAUGGUAGGAUUUCUAUCGCCUGUCACUAUACCUGCCACUUUCGCACUUACAUAAUUGUUAGAACGGAACAAGCGAUUAAAAUGUGAUCAUGCUGACCUUCAAGGAAAGAGCGUACCCCAUCUUAAAGACCGGCUACGGACUUCAACCCCUCUGGUGUUGCAGGUAUCCAUGUGUGUCGAUAAUUGCUUACCAUCAGAUGAUUCUAAUGUUCGUUUGCCUCCAAUAUCUUUAAAAAACCGCAACAUAAUUAUUACUUACGCCAAAUGUUAAAAACCCUUUUCCAAACCGCACCAAUCUAGACGGUUUUCUUUAAAAAUCUGCAUAUACACGGUGUAACAUGAGGAAACCGAAUAAUUUUAACCACGCAUUUCUGAGGUCAAAAGAAGUAAAAAAUGUAAUAUGAGUUUAGGUCAAUUUCGCCAAAAAAAAAAUUUUUUUUUGUUUUGUUUUUUCAAUUUUUUGAAUGUAUUUGUACAUAAAAAAUAAAUGUUAUUGGUAAACUUGUCACUUAAAAUUGAUUUUUACAUUUUUUUUUUCGUAGAACCUACUUUUUGCAAAGUGUUACUUGUCACUUUUUGACAUCUAUCAAUAAGGAUAUUUAGACUACGCCCCAUAGCAGCAACAUCACCAUCAAAAAGGCCUUUUACACCAUGUAACAAUAAAAACUUGUUCUUUUUUUAAUUAAUAAUAUCUCUGAAACUAGGCGAAUUUCAAAAAAGUUUAUAUGACAUUUUUGUCUCUAAAUAUGAUCAGGAAUACGCUGUUAAAAUUAUUCGGUUUACUCAUGUUACACCGUGUAUUCCAAUUAGUUAUGUUUUUGUAAUUGAUUUGACUACGUGUAACAUUUUACGACAGUACAAUUUGAUUUGAACCUUAAAUCUGACGUCUAAGGUUGCAAUUCUAUCGACACGCAUGUGGUCAAUAAAUCGUACUAUGCCUGGAAAAAGGUUAAAGUGUCGUACUGGUCUCACUGGUCCUAGUCAAAGGCUAGUGUGAAAAACUGAUUAGGAACGUGCAAUGUUCACACGGGGUGUUUUUUAUGAAAAAAACCUAGUGGUAUAUUAGGUAUGUGAAUAAGUCAUAAUUAUUAUUUUAAUUCAACACCUGAAACCUCGGAGUAAUUAACAAUGGAGCCGCCAUUAACAGGCGUUCCCCUCUGUCGAAAAUAGGCGGCCAAUGGUCAACCACAUGUCAACCAUAUGUAUGGACUGACGUUUAUCUGACAUGACGUACCUAUACAUUUGAUGUGCCCCUCCCCCGCAAAAAACAGCAGACUAUUUUGUACCGAAAAUUUUAGACAUGGCGUCUCCAUUGUUAAUUACUCCGAGCCUGAAACAGUUCAAUUUCUCGCAGAAUUUAACCUUUUCGACGCCGUGUCAAACACAAAAGCUGUCACUCGGACGCCACGUCACCGAAGUGUCAAAACUGAAAACUAAAAUUGAACUUUAUGCAUAUGCACGUAGGUCUGACGGAUUCAUCGGUCUUUGGCGUUGGACCUACGGUGCGGAUAUAUCGGUUGUUGGCGUCCAAAAGGUUAAGCCCUAUUUAGAAUUUACAAGAACUUGCAAGCGAUUUUCUUUACAUUGUUUCAUCAACUGUUUACUUGCAAUUUCUGAGUAUUGAUUUUUUGUUUGUUAUUUGCUUAUUGUUAAAAUUCUAAACAGUUUUUGAUAAAAGAAAGAACAAAAAUUGUAACCUAAUGAUUGACACAUUCAGUGCCGAAAACCCGACUAUCGGGUAUUUUAUGAUUUCGUUCCCAGGCCUAACGACCCGAUAGUCGGGAUCGUGGUACUACUGCUGACGAAAUUGUUGUGCCCUGACGCGGACGUCUUUGGCCGGGUGGCAAUGAAUGUGUUAAUAUACCUAAAAUUAUAGGUCUCUUGAUAUAUUUUAUUUGUUGAGGUCAUAGAAUAAUGAGAGCUCUGUCAUUAUUUUCCCUAGUUUGAUUUCAAUUGGUGCUUAAGUAUUUUUCUGUUUAGGUUGAAUUAAACUGAAUGAUUUGUUAAUAA